UACGUAGGGGGCAAGCGUUGUCCGGAAUCAUUGGGCGUAAAGAGCGUGUAGGCGGCCCGAUAAGUCCGCUGUGAAAGUCCAGGGCUCAACCCUGGAAUGCCAGUGGAAACUGUCGGGCUGGAGUCCGGAAGAGGCGAGUGGAAUUCCUGGUGUAGCGGUGAAAUGCGCAGAUAUCGGGAGGAACACCAAUGGCGAAGGCAGCUCGCUGGGACGGUACUGACGCUGAGACGCGAAAGCGUGGGGAGCAAACAGG
rnacentral:rRNA from 1 species